rnacentral:piRNA from 1 species
UAUCAGGAGUGACAGACGGAUGGACAGA